AGUGCUGUUGCUGGAUCAUAUGGUAAGAGUAUGUUUAGUUUUGUAAGAAAUUGCCAAAUUGCUUUCCAGAGGGACUGGACCAUUUUGCAUUCCAGCAGCAAU
rnacentral:pre_miRNA from 1 species